GUGCCAGCCGCGGUAAUACCGGCAGCCCGAGUGAUGGCCGAUCUUAUUGGGCGUAAAGCGUCCGUAGCUUGCUGUGUAAGUCCAUUGGGAAAUCGACGUGCUCAACGCGUCGGCGUCCGGUGGAAACUACACGGCUUGGGGCCGAGAGACUCGACGGGUACGUCCGGGGUAGGAGUGAAAUCCUGUAAUCCUGGACGGACCACCAAUGGGGAAACCACGUCGAGAGACCGGACCCGACAGUGAGGGACGAAAGCCAGGGUCUCGAACCGGAUUAGAAACCCUUGUAGUCC
rnacentral:rRNA from 1 species